GCAGCCUUUGUUCCAGCAUGUUGUCGGGAGGCAGCAUCCGACAUUAACUGGGCUUGGAAUCUGCUCCUGUAGGAAGUGCAUUCAACAUGCCCGAGUGCUGUGAACGUUAUGAGAGGGCCUUGUUGGGAACACGUGCUCCUGGGAAUCAGCCCUUCCCUCUGUCCUGUUCCCACUCCUCCCCGACGAUGCUCCUGCUCAGAACCCACUCCUCACCUCAGUGAAGCAACGCAGCGGGCACCCUGUGGACAAAGCUGGAUAUUGGCUCUGAAUAAAAGCGAAUCAUGGGGAAAAUCAGUGUCUCAGUAAAAUGGGGUUUUCUUAGUAGAGACCAGACUGUGAAGGACCUUGCUUCAUUCCAUCUUUGAGGAGGAUGAUGAUUCAGGGACAUUGGCCCAAGAUCAAAGUGGUAUUUUUAGGUUGUAUUUACUUAGCUAUUUGCCGUCUACCUCCUUAUUUCCAGGUAGCAACUUCCUUCUUAUAUCUGAGAUGUUUAAGAGAUGAUGAAACCAGCUUGCACACACUUCUCAAAGUGUGUUUGUUCGCAUCCAUUAUUUCACUGGGGACCGGCUAUUAUCCUCUCCAUUUUCUUUAUAAGGAUAUUGAAAGAGAGAUUAAAUAACUUGUUCAAGGCCGCAUAGCUAGUUAACAGCUGAACUAGGCUUAAAACCAACGUCUGAAGGCUCCUAUUCCAGUGGCAGCUGCUGUGUGCUUCUUCUGUUUUCCAUCAGUUUGGAAGGGAGCAUAAAGUCUACAGCCACAUGGGUGGGGUCAGCAGAAAGAUUGACCACCAAGCCUGAGGCAGGUGAGGCUGAUCUCCUGGGCACAGCCUCUCUGCACAGGAGUUCACAGAAGUGAUAUGAUCCAAAGUUGCUGAGGGAAAAGCCCUUAUUUGUGGAAUUAACGGCAGGUCUCUCUUGAGGUCAGAAUGAAUGUUAUUGACAUUAUUGUUUGUAUUGUGGUAAGGUAUACAUAAUGGAAAAUGUACCAUUUUGGCUGGACAUGGUGGCUCACGCCUGUAAU
rnacentral:lncRNA from 10 species